GCUGGUAACGCAAUUUUCAGUUACGAAAAAAAAACAUUUGUUUGCGUUUGACGUAACGCAAUUUUGUAUAUUUACGUCUCAAGAUGUGUUUAACAAGUUCAAGGACGAAAAAAAAAAAAACAAGUUCAAGGACGAGGAUGGGAAGUUCAAAGCACACUUAGCAGCAGAUGCAAGAGGCCCGUUAAGCUUAUAUGAAGCUGCACAAUGGAGUACUCCUGGAGAAGACACUCUUGAUGAAGUUGUCGCUUUCUCAAAGGCUCAUUUAGAAGAAAUUUCUUCUCGAUCUAGCCCUCAUCUCGCAAUACGCAAACGCCCAAAAACAUCCAUUUCACAAAGGCAUCUCUAGAAUAGAAACGAGGCAAUAUAUCUCAUACUACGAGGCGGAAGAGAAGUGUGACGAAACAUUACUUGAGUAUGCAAAGAUUGACUUUAGUUUGCUGCAAAUGCUGCAUCGCCAAGAGCUUUCCUGUGUAACAAGGUAAUUAUCUCGGCUGCUCAACACAUAUAAGCCGUACCUCUGAGAUAUCGUUGCUCUAUUCAAAAUAAAUAUAUAAAGAUCAAAAUUUAUAUAGGCUUAAUAGCUUAGCGAAAUAAAUACUCUCACUUCAGCUUUCGUAUAAAUCAAUUUGAUGAAAAAAGUUUUAAUCAUUUUUUAUAUACUUACUCCUGUCACUCUGUCAGUGUUUAAUCAAAGGUACGUAAAGUGACUUCUUUUUGUAUUAUUUACUCCGGUCAGUGUUUAAUCAAAGGUACGUAAAGUGACUUCUUUUUGUAUUCAUAGUUAUUUAGGAGAGAAUCAAUUAACCGUACAUGCAACAUUUAGUUUUAUUUUAUUAUUGUUUAUUCUAUAAUUUUUUUCCUAAGUAUUCUACUUUAUUGACUCCCAUUUACAUAUUAUAAAUAUGUUAAAAGAAUUCUAAAAUAAACAAAAACAACUGAUUUUUUUUUAAUAACUUAUCAUAUAAUUUGUACAUUAACUACAUAAUGCAAUUUUUUAAUUAUUUUUUUUUCAAACAUUUUUUUUUUGAAACAUAAGAUUUUUUUUGAAACACUUUAAAAAAAAAUUAUAUAUGUUAUCAUAUAGCCAAAUGUAAUAUUUGAGUUACAUAAUAUUAUAUGAAACAAUAUUCUCUAUAACUCUUAUUUUUUAUCCCUCUAUUACAGUAUAAAAAAUACUCUUGGCUCCAUCGAAAUUGUAAUUAUGAAAUUCUUACACACUAUUAAAAUUAAGUUAUAAUACCAAAAGUAACUUUAUUAUACUACGCAUUUGGAAGAAUUUCAUAGUAAGAAAUUCUUCACUCACUUCAGUAUUUUACAUAUCCCGAAAGCAAAGAACAAAAUGUAUGAUAAGCUUACAUGAAGUGCUCGGACUCAGUCUUCUGCUAUAUAUGGUUUAUGAUAAUUCGAUUCCACAAAGUUGGCUCUCGGAGUCUAGAUCUUCGUAGUUUAGUAUAGCCUAUGUCGAAAAUGUUUAUUUUAAUACAUAAUUUAUUUUUAAAAAUUAUUAUUUGUAGUAAUUAUCAUAAUAAAUAUGGGCAAAGUAGGUAAAGAAGCUAAAAGUUAUAUCGAAACAAAAAUUAUAAUUUUUGUGAAACAACGAAUAAUUAUGAAUGAAAUUCUUUAAUUCUCAGCUUUAACCAGGGCCCAAAGCAGUACAACAUUAAUGGGGCACAUGCACCCAUAAUUUUAUCAAUAUUAACAGUUGUGUAUGUUUAUUUCUUAAUUUCAGCUAGCUAAAAUAGAAAAAGCCUUCAUGCGUACUCCCGACAUCUCAUGUUCGUUCUCAACUUUGUUUUUUUAAUGAGUUAUGCACCCAAUACACUGGGCAAAAUGGGAAAAAGUAUGUCUACCAAGAGAGGAGGGUGGAAUUGGCUUUCGCCUAAUCCAUGAGUUUAAUUUGGCUCUAUUGGCGAAGCAACUAUGGCGGCUUGUCCAGUUCCCUGACUCUUUGGUGGCCCGGGUGAUGAGAGGACGAUACCAUAGACUGAGCUCGCCACUGAGAGUAAUAUCAGCUAAUAGCCCAUCGUAUGUGUGGACUAGCAUUUUGGCGGCAAGGGAGUUGUUAUUGUUGGGAAUUCGUCAUAAGAUUCACUCGGGUUAUGAAGUUAAGGUAUGGGAAAAUCCAUGGAUCCCAAUGACUCCCGCGAGACCAACUAUCCCAGUAGCGCCAGUUAUGAAUCCCAAUAUGAGAGUAAGCGAUCUCAUUAAUCAGGAAUCAAAGGAUUGGGAUGCAAAUCUGUUGGAGAAAUAUGUCAAUAUGGAGGACAUACCACGAAUAAGGAGCUUGGCCAUAAGCUCAGCUCACCGUCGUGACACUUAUUGCUGGAGCUACACGAGGAGUGGACAAUACACGGUCAAAUCGGGAUAUUGGGUGGCUCGAAAUGUAUUAAAGAGAGAGAGGAGGAAAAGCAGGUUGUGGAUCCAAGUAUAACCGACCUUCAAGCCUAUGCUUGGAAGUUGAAGGCGCCUAAGAAGAUAUGUCAUCUUAUAUGGCAAUUGUUAACUGGUCAUGUGGCAGUUACAAGGAACCUAACGAGACGGAAUAUGAGGUGCGAUAACUACUGUCCAAGAUGUGGAGAACUAGAGGAAUCUGUAACACACGCGAUUUUUGAAUGCCCUCCUGCUGUACAAGUUUGGUCUCUUUCAUCAACUCCAACGAGCCCGGGGAUAUUCCCAGUACCAAGCGUCUAUACAAAUAUGGACUAUCUUUUUUGGAGAAAAAAACGCUAUCAUCGAGCCAGACCAAGACAGAGAUCCUUACCCUUGGCUGAUUUGAUACAUUUGGAAGGCUAGGAAUGAGAAACUCUUCAGAGGAAUUGAUAGAGAUCCAUUGGAGCUGGUCCGACAUGCAGAAAGCGAAUGUCAAGCACGGUUUGAGGCGAAUAAGGUCGUACAACCAAUCGUACAAGACAUUAAUGUUGAGGAAUCUCAAGUCAUAAGCUUGGGUAAUAUUUGUUUGUUAGAUGGAUCCUGGACGACUGAAGCUCAUUUCAGUGGAUGCGGAUGGGUGUGGAUGGACAGUGGUGGGAACACCCAACUUAUGGGGGUAAGGAAUCUCACGCGGCGCGGGUCACCCCUGCAUACAGAAUUGGAAGCACUGCGGUGGGAAAUGGAGAACAUGCUCCAACAUUCGACAUGCCAGAGCUUUGGAACGGACUACAAGGAGAUGAUUGCAAUGCUAAAAGAGCCCCAGGCUUGGCCAAGCUUUGCGACGAAGCUGGAAAGGAUUAAGACGCUCCAGAUUUGCUUUCCGGAGUUCAAUAUCACUUAUGUUCCACGAGCGCGAAAUCAGUUCUCAGAUUUUUUAGCCAAGACUGCUAGAUCCUUCCAUAGGGAGUUAUAUUUUAUUGGUUGUUCUAUCCCGGUCUGGUUACCCAGACCACCUCAAGCUUGAGUAAUAGAAUGGCCUUUUGACGUCAAAAAAAAAAAAAAGAGUUAUGCACCCAAUAAUAAAAUUUUCUGGACUGGCCCCGUCUAUUUGUCCAUAACUGGUAUUUAUUUGAAAGUGGGGUCCCAUAAAAAAAGGGCCAUUAAAAUGUUUCAUGAAAAUGCCAUCAAGACUGGCAUGUACUUGACCUUCUUCACUACAUUUCAGGUGGCACAAAUAAAUGGAAUUUGAAUCUAAGAUAACGUACACAAAACAUAGAGUAGCCGAGGAGUACUUGUGCACACUUGGAACAUACUUUAAGCCUUAAUAUUCUCAAGGACGAGUUACAUUAGCUAGUUUAGUCAUCUUACUCACAGCGCUUGAUGAUAUGUAUGAUGCGUAUGGCACAUGAGAGGAACUUGAGCUUUUCACAUAUGCAUUGGAAAAGUACUCAUUUCACAAAAACAUUAAAGAUUUUUAUAUUUAUCGAUGGCAGGCUUAUAACAUGGGUUGCCCUAACAGGUGACUUCCGGAAGCCCCUGAGGGGAUACCUGACAGCAUGAAACAUCUUUACCGUGUCACAAUAGAUUUCUAUGAUAAACUCGAGGAGGAGCUUGAGAUGCAAGGAAAGUCAGGUUGUGGCUCACAUUUUAAGAAAUCAUUGAAAUCAACAGCCAAUGGAUAUAUGCAAGAGGCGAAGUGGUUGAGAAAGGAUUACACUGCCAAAUUUGACGAGUAUAAAGAGAAUGCUAUCUUGUCUUCCGCAUACUAUACCAUGAUGGCCAUGACAUUUGCGGGAAUGGGAGAUUUCACGAAACUUGAUGCUUUUGAAUGGUUAAGCUCCCAUCCUAAAAUAAGGGUAGGUUAUGAUAUAAUAUGUCGAUUCACAAAUGACAUUACCAGCUACAAGGUGAGCACCAACAUCUGAUUUUGAUCUCCUAAAUAUAUUUUAAGUAGGAUGUCAAAUGGGUGAUCCGUGUCCAAAACAUAAUGGGCCAAUUGUGGAAAUAGUCAUAUACGAAGUGUAAUCAAAUGGCUAAGCCCAAUUUUGUCCGUGGAAAAAAAUUGGAUGGAUUGCGUAGACAUUGGUUUGUCCAAAAUACUUAAAAUUGGGUUAAAAUGACUUGGAGGAAGUCAUCAGUGUUCACACAAAUAAAAUGUUCAUUUAGACAUGGACGGUCCAUUGAAAACAUUUGUUUGCCAAAGUAUUGAAUAUAUUUGACAUGUUAUAAUUGCAGUUUGAACACAAAAGGGAGCAUGUAGCGACAGGCAUUGACUGUUAUAUGAAGCAAUUUUGUGUUUCUAAGGAACGAGCCGUUCAAGUAAUCACGAACAUUGUUUCAAAUGCUUGGAAGGACUUGAACCAAGAGCUAAUGAGGCCUCACUCAUUUCGUUUCCCUUUCUUGAUCAGAAUUCGUAACCUUUCGCGUGUCAUUGAUGUUUUUUUAUAGGUAUACAGACGCUUACACCAACCCCGAGUUCUUGAAAGAUCACAUUGUAUGUUUGCUCAUUGAAAAUAUCCCCAAUUGAGAAUGUUCUGGUGGUGGUGAUUAUACCAAUCUAUGGAAUGUUACUGAUCCAUUACGCAAACCCAAUGAUGGCCAAAUUAAAUUUUCGUAUUAUGACAGUUGAACUUUGUCACUGUCCACCAUAUGUUUGUUUGCAUUUUUCAACCCAUUCCUAAAUUUAUAAUUAUUUCUGCUACAUUUGUACUUAUUGUUAGUAGUAAAUUAUUUCCUAUUUUGGCUGGUC